GAUGAACGCUGGCGGCGUGCUUAACACAUGCAAGUCGAACGGGAAACUUUUCAUUGAAGCUUCGGCAGAUUUGGUCUGUUUCUAGUGGCGGACGGGUGAGUAACGCGUGGGUAACCUGCCUUAUACAGGGGGAUAACAACCAGAAAUGGUUGCUAAUACCGCAUAAGCGCACAGGACCGCAUGGUCCGGUGUGAAAAACUCCGGUGGUAUAAGAUGGACCCGCGUUGGAUUAGCUAGUUGGCAGGGUAACGGCCUACCAAGGCGACGAUCCAUAGCCGGCCUGAGAGGGUGAACGGCCACAUUGGGACUGAGACACGGCCCAGACUCCUACGGGAGGCAGCAGUGGGGAAUAUUGCACAAUGGGGGAAACCCUGAUGCAGCGACGCCGCGUGAAGGAAGAAGUAUCUCGGUAUGUAAACUUCUAUCAGCAGGGAAGAUAGUGAC
rnacentral:rRNA from 1 species